rnacentral:rRNA from 1 species
ACUUACGGCCAUACCAUCCUGAAUACGCCUGAUCUCGUCUGAUCUCGGAAGCUAAGCAGAGUCGGGCCUGGUUAGUACUUGGAUGGGAGACCGCCUGGGAAUACCAGGUGCUGUAAGUG